rnacentral:rRNA from 1 species
AGGACGAACGCUGGCGGCGUGCUUAACACAUGCAAGUCGAGCGGAAAGGCCCUUCGGGGUACUCGAGCGGCGAACGGGUGAGUAACACGUGAGUAAUCUGCCCCUAGCUCUGGGAUAGCUCCGGGAAACCGGGAUUAAUACCGGAUACGACCACUUUAGACAUCUGUUGUGGUGGAAAGAAUUUUGGCUAGGGAUGGAGCUCGCGGCCUAUCAGCUUGUUGGUGGGGUAACGGCCUACCAAGGCGACGACGGGUA